GAUUUUUAUGUUUUGAGGUGAUUAAGAAGUCAGAUAUUUGGAUUUUGGAGUGAAAUGCAAUUUCUGCUCUGCAUAUGAUGGAUAGAUCAAAGCUCGUCGACUAGUGCUACCUUCGUCCUCCGCUGUUUUGUUGCUGCAUCUCGAACUCAAAAUGGAGGGAAGUAGUGGGACGUCGCCUUUAGGAGAGCCCACCGUUCCAGUAAUCCCAAACUAUGUACCAACACUAGACACAGUCUAAUAAAGCACUAAUAUGUUGUGAUUACCUAAUUUUUUCGUUAAUCCCUUCUUUGAUGUUUUUUUUGCUGAAUAUUUGUUUGCAGUUGUGGAAUCGGCCAAUAGUGUCCAAAAUCAAGAUUUGAGUGAUGCUACCUCAUUUGCAGAAAUAAAUUCCCCAAUGCUUCUCAUUGAUGAUGCGAGUACACCAAAAAAGAAACAAGCCUUCUCUCAAGAGGGUUCUUUGUAUAAACCCCAGUGUGAUGAGGAAUUGAAGCCAAAAGUGGGGAUGCUAUUUGAUGACAUUGGCUCAGUAAUGGAAUUUUACAAGACAUAUGCACACCAUGUCGGAUUUGGUGUACGUCUUGGACAGCAAAAGAUCGUAGAUAAUGUGCUUCUGUGGAAGCGCUUCUUGUGUGCAAAAGAAGGAUUUCGGCCCGAGAAAGGUAUGGUUGUUGUUGAUCAUUCCAAGAAAAGGCAAAAGGUAUGAACUUCGUGCAACAUGGAUACCAGCUUACUUUAUGGAAAUUCCCCUAGCUGGUCUUCUCAGGACAACUUCGGUUUCAGAGAGCGCAAACUCAUUUUUUAAGCGUUUCAUUUGUCGCAAGCUUACCUUUGUUGAGUUUUGGCUAAGAUUUGACACUGCUUUGAAGUGUCAGAGGCAGAAUGAGUUAAUUGCUGAUAACACAAGUGAAUACACAACAAGUGAGUUGGUGACACCAUGGGAAAUAGAGAGACAAGGCAGGGCGGUAUUCACCCACGAGAUUUUUGAAUUAUUUCAGGCCCAGGUGCUUGCUGCCAGAGAUGAUUGUGAUGUUCAGGACACGGAAAAUCGUGAGGGGAUUAAAAUCAUGUUUGUGAGUGAUCAAUACAAAAAGAUUAGAGAAGUGUCUUAUGACACAAUAUCCAUGACUGCUAAAUGUUCUUGCAAGCUUUUUGAGUCCAAUGGAAUCAUGUGCCGCCAUAUUAUCCGAGUGUUGAGGGGUGCGAAAAUAAAUGAAUUGCCAAGAAUUUAUGUUCUUAAGCGGUGGGAGAGAAAUUGCAAAAGGGACAUUAUCUUCGACGGGGAAGGGAACAUACUUGAAGAGAAUUUAAUUGACCCGGUUGACAUGGCUAUGAAAAGGAAGAUAGCUCUCGUUAGGAACAAGCUAGAAGAUCUCAUUCGGAAGACUAAAGGUUCAAUGGAAGGAAUUGAAUUCCUGCACACUAGUUUGUGCAACGCUGAGAUGGCUUUAGCCCAUCUCGUACCGGCUGUAGCAUGCAACACACACGAAAAUGAGGAGUCAUUUAUCGGGAGCAUCAUUCCAAAGCACGUUACUAUCCACACACCUACUGAUAUCAAUGCAAGGGGCACUUGCUCUAGAAUAAAGGGACACAGGGAUGCUGUGAGGAGUGGGUCAAGUGAGAAGAAAAGAAGGCCUGGAAUCCAUCAAAAAGUCGCACGCAAAUGUAGCAUUUGCAAGGAAGUGGUGUUCCAUGAUGCAAGGACAUGUUCUAAGAAACAAAUGACACAACAAUAGAGGUCUGACUUCUCCGAGCACAAGAAGAUUGAUAAGCAAGAGGCACUAGUACUGGAGGCAAAAGGCAGUAGCUUUUCUGUUGUGUACCAAACAGAGCAAACUUGAUGCAAAUUCUGACGGCAAGCUUGUUCAGCAGACAGCGGUGCUUACUUUAGUCCUGCAUACUUUGUGUUGUCUGUGAUGUACCAAAAAUGGUCCUCUCCAUGUUAUGUACUCCCUCCGUUCGAAAUUACUUGUCGCGAAAAUGAAUGUAUGUAGACGUAUUUUAGUUCUAGAUACAUUCAUUUCCGAGACAAGUAAUUUCGAACGGAGGGAGUAACACUUUAUAUGCAUGUGUGUCGUCUCUAUUCUGUUCUGUUCUGUCUGGGAUCGUGCAAUUUAAAAUGUAUGUGUAGUUAUGGUUUAAAGUGGAUGGAUUAAUUUUCUCAUGUCUCAGAAAUUUGUGAUGUUCCCAUACAUUUUAGUGACGAACAUGUUUGGAUUUC
rnacentral:rRNA from 1 species